AUGAAGUAUAAUAAAAAAAUAAAUUUGUUGUAAUUAAAUCGUAAUAUAGUUCAUUUAUUGAAUAUCUAUACACGGUUCAGUGCGUGUUAUCUGUUCAAAUCACACAAUGCGAGAAAAAUUCGUAGCAGCAGCUAACAGUAAAGAGUAAAGUGCAAUCUGUGAACUUCGGUGGAGGCAGCAUCGGAGGAUCCGGUUCGGGCCAAGCAGGAUCGGCACGAAGAUUCAGAUGCGGAACGUAGCCGGUCCUGAGUCGGCGGAAUAGGUGAGUGGAAUUUAGGGUACAGGUGAUGGUUUUUCUUUCCGCCGAAAUUGUCAUUUUUGAAAUCAAUGCGAUUUAUUUUGCUUGUAGACUUCUAGAUGCGAACAUUCGCAUGGGAAGCGUCGAAUGAAAAAGAGUAUAUAAUAAUUUCUUUGGGAUCAGUAUCGUUUAUAGAAAUCGCAAUAUCGAGAGAGAUAAGUGUGUACGUAAAAAAUCAAAUUUUAAAAAUCGUAACGGUAUUUAGAAACUGUAAAGUAGUUGUAGUAAAACACACGCAAAAUGCUACCACAAACAAAAAUAUUUAAAAUUCGCGCAUUUACUUUCAUGAAAUUCAUAUACAUACCGUCUAUAUAUGGGAAAUCUAAUCGCGAAUAUAUAAAUAAAAAGUCAAAAACUAAAAGUCGCAGCGAUGUAAAACCUAAUAUUUUAUACGGUGAAAUCUUUAAGCUAAUACUAAUAAUUACAUAAAUUAAAUAAUUUGGCACAAAAUUUGCGGUAUUCAUUGCAAACUUUUUUCUUUUUUUGCAAACGGAAUCUCUAUUCCUAUCUAAUAAAGUAAUCGUAACAAAUAUAUGACUGAAAAGUCACGAUUUCUACGAGAAAUUCUAAUUACCCUCAUUUUUACGAAUAUCUGUAAUUCGUAAUCUUUUUCAUUUUCAAAUUGUUGUACGAAAAAUUAAAAAACGAUAAAGUUAGGACAUUAAAAAUCGCUUUGAGAUAUCCGUUAACGCGCACAAAAUAUUCCCGAUUUCUGAUUAUUUUUUUGCAUCUCACGAAGCUCAAGCGUCAAUUUUAACGCUAGACGAGGUUCAUGCAGAAAGGGGAAAUCAUCAAGAACGAAUAAGAGAUGAUAAGUCGACAUAACGGCAAAUCGCAUUUUAUAUCU